rnacentral:rRNA from 1 species
CUAAGUUUGAUGGCGACCGGCGCACGGGUGAGUAACACGUAUCCAACCUGCCGAUGACUCGGGGAUAGCCUUUCGAAAGAAAGAUUAAUACCCGAUGGCAUAGUUCUUCCGCAUGGUAGAACUAUUAAAGAAUUUCGGUUAUCGAUGGGGAUGCGUUCCAUUAGUUUGUUGGCGGGGUAACGGCCCACCAAGACUACGAUGGAUAGGGGUUCUGAGAGGAAGGUCCCCCACAUUGGAACUGAGACACGGUCCAAACUCCUACGGGAGGCAGCAUG